rnacentral:tRNA from 1 species
GAAAGGACCACAAGAACUGCUAAUUCAUGAGCCUGAUGAUAACUAAUCAGACCUUUC